CAUGCUAGUACAGCCUAUCCUCAGCUUUCCAGAAGGUGGAAUCUUGUGAUAGUGGAAAGAAGUAGAAGAGAUGAAGUACCUAUGACUCCAGGAUUUGCCAGUGAAAGAAGUCAAUGAUAUUUUAACUUUGAUCUUAGCCAAAAGGCCAAGAAGUGAUGCUAAUAUUUUCAUAUACUACGACAGUUGCAGACACACAUCUAACAUAGCCGAAUAGUAAUCCAGGCAACUCUGCCACAAGUCAUGGGCUCAGCCACCAGUCCACGAAGUCUCCAG